AUUACAGAUAUAUGUAUGUAUGUAUGUAUCCCCUCCGUGAGUUGCCACCUUAUCGUGGUGGAGGGGUUUGUGUGCUCACAUGAUCCUGGGAGCUGUUCUGUCCGGAGCUCUCAGCUCCUCGUAGGGUUUCCCACGACAGCUUGGUCCCAGGUGACGAGUCAGACGAAGAGCAAUUCAGACGACCGAAAGCUCAGGGAGGAGCGCUGUUGUUUAAAGGGGGCUUUCACACCUGAAAGUCCUCAUUUGAGGAGAGACCGGAUUGCUUCCAUUGUGUCCGUCUGCAGUCUGAGGGUAGCGGACACGUAACAGAAUCAACAAACUGAUCCGCAAGGCCAGUGACAUUGUGGGGUUGGAGCUGGACUCUGUGUUGGUGGUGUCAGAGAGGAGGAUGCUGUCUAAACUACAUGUCAUCUUGGAUUCUGGAGAUUUAUAAAUGUCCUCAUUCCAGUGCAUUUGUUUAUUUCCAGUUUACGUGGAAAACGCCAAACUUCUGUAAAUAGUCUGAAAGUCCGGACCAUCAAAAAAUGCUUUCACAGUAGAAACAAACUGAACCACGGAUCCGGACCGAUACUACCUCUUUUCAUUGGACCAACUUUGGUCUAUUUGGUCGGGACAGUGGUCCGGGGGAGGUUUCAUUGAUUUUGGAAAUAACUAAAAAGUCUGAGAGUCUGGACCAAAUGAGAGGUAGGUGUGAAAGCCCUCUUAGUUACAGAUUUUCUUUAGUCCGUACCUUACGUGACGGUUGGCCCCUAGUCGGGCCACUCCAAAGGGUCCCAAGAUAAAUCAUAGUUCUGGGGUGAUUAAUGGGAGAGGACAGAAGAACGAGAGCUACUGGAUCAUUUCAACAGUUAUUUAAAACAUUUGAGUUUCUACGUCUGAAACACAACAACAGACACGAACCAAAUGGUUUGGAAACCACUGGUUUAAUUUCAAUGUCAAUUUGAAACGGUAAUGUAGUUCAGUAAAAAGUAAGACGUUGAUGCUUGUUUUCCAAAGCUCACAAUUAUGUCCUCAGAUCUCCAGCCCAAAAAUAACUGGGAGUGUCAAAUAGAGAAGCAAAGAAGCCACAAAAUAUUCCCAAUUUAAGACCAGGUGUGUUAGAAACUGACGGGUCUUGACCGUGCAUACGCAUGUGACGACAUGGGAGUGCAGAUUGUGUUGACAGUGUACGCUAUAGCAUACCUACUCCAUAAAUCUGAUGCAGAACUAUAAAUUGGCCUUCAGGGUGUGAACCAAUCAGGACAGCCGCUGUUCCCACAGCCAGCAAUAGUGACCGGAAGUAAAGAGACAAACAGGAAGUGGACAAAACCAGACCAGAGGUGAUCCCCACUCUACAGGCCUGCAGAUGUUUCUGACUGUUUCUCCUGGACUUCUGCGUGCUCCAAAGUAAAAACACAAGUGUACCCAGUAGUUCAUACCCCAGGUCUAAAAUAAGGACGUAUGUAGUUUGCCUUACUUCCUUUUUUGUUAGUGCCUGUGUUGAUGAGUACCGCCAAAUCUGCAGAUUUAUAAAGUACCACUUACCACGUCUUUGUGGUAAUUAGUACUUUCUGGUAAGAUUGAUGACAUCUGAUGGGAUGUGGAUAAGAAUCUGUGACCCAACAGAGAGGAACGCCGGCCUAGAGAUGUUUUCCUUGUUUACAUUUCUAGCGUGUCAUUCUUUCUGCAGUGCUGUCAGACAUCUUGUCUUUCUCUUUUCUGUAUCACAGUGCACACGUGUACAAACAGUAAAAGUGUAACUGUGAAUCCUGAAAUCUUUGUUCUGGUGAAACUGAUACGUGCCAAACUGAAAAAGUAAAAGCCUGCUGCAUUUACAUUCGAA